rnacentral:lncRNA from 1 species
AGGGGGCUCACCGCCGCUCGGGAGCUCCCGCGCGCACCGGCAGCACCUCCCGGGUCUCCAGUCCGCUGCUGCCGGCGGAAGCCAUUGUACGGCUCUCUCCGGAGCCGUCAUCGGGCAGCAGCCGCCCGGGCACCGCGCUGGUGGACCCCCGACCGAACCCGGACCUGGACGCCGCACCGGCUCGGGAGGCGAUGGAGGAGCCGGGCGCGAACCGCAACCUGCCGCCGGCGCCGCGAGGAAGCGACCUCGAUGGAACUGUACGACGCGACGAGUACGGCGUGGAGAUCCUGCGCCUGCCGGAGACGGAGACAGUCGUGC